GAAAUGCGAUAAGUAAUGUGAAUUGCAGAAUUCAGUGAAUCAUCGAAUCUUUGAACGCACAUUGCGCCCGCCAGUAUUCUGGCGGGCAUGCCUGUUCGAGCGUCAUUUCAACCAUCAAGCCCCCGGCUUGUGUUGGGGACCUGCGGCUGCCCGCAGGCCCUGAAAACCAGUGGCGGGCUCGCUGUCACCCCGAGCGUAGUAGCAAUCACCUCGCUCAGGGCGUGCCGCGGGCGCCGGCCGUUAAAGCUGCCUUCGCGCAACACCCAAGGUUGACCUCGGAUCAGGUAGGGAUACCCGCUGAACUUAA
rnacentral:misc_RNA from 1 species